GUGCUCUUCUUUUUAUUCUUAGAGGCAACAUGAAAGACAAAAGGUUUUCAAAAGAAGGGGGAUCUGGGAAUUCUCAAUACUGCAAGUUAGUUUGUUGGCAUUUUCAUGAUGAAAAACCACAGGAUCAUAUUAAGGCUCUAGAAAACCAAGUCUGAUAACUACUUGUUCCUAAGGAGAGGAAGUAAAAACCAGAGAGAACUGAAGUAAUCAAUUGAACUGUCCCAUGGUUCCGCUAGAACAAAGAAACUGUGCUCAUAAAUCACAUCCUCUGAU